rnacentral:ncRNA from 1 species
GCUUGUUCUCAGGGCGGGGUGAAAUUCCCCACCGGCGGUAUGCGGGCGAUGACCCGUAAGCCCGCGAGCGGUCCCUACUCAGGGAUGACAAGCAGAUCUGGUGAGAGGCCAGAGCCGACGGUUAAAGUCCGGAAGGAAGAGAACGUGC